AGUGAACGCUGGCGGUAGGCCUAACACAUGCAAGUCGAACGGCAGCACAGGAGAGCUUGCUCUCUGGGUGGCGAGUGGCGGACGGGUGAGGAAUACAUCGGAAUCUACUCUGUCGUGGGGGAUAACGUAGGGAAACUUACGCUAAUACCGCAUACGACCUACGGGUGAAAGCAGGGGACCUUCGGGCCUUGCGCGAUUGAAUGAGCCGAUGUCGGAUUAGCUAGUUGGCGGGGUAAAGGCCCACCAAGGCGACGAUCCGUAGCUGGUCUGAGAGGAUGUUCAGCCACACUGGAACUGGGACACGGUCCAGACUCCUACGGGGGGCAGCAGUGGGGAAUAUUGGACAAUGGGCGCAAGCCUGAUCCAGCCAUACCGCGUGGGUGAAGAAGGCCUUCGGGUUGUAAAGCCCUUUUGUUGGGAAAGAAAUCCAGCUGGCUAAUACCCGGUUGGGAUGACGGUACCCAAAGAAUAAGCACCGGCUAACUUCGUGCCAGCAGCCGCAGUAA
rnacentral:rRNA from 1 species